CAAGUUUGAUCCAUGGGACUUACCAGGUUGCUUUGCUUUACACAGAUAAUAGAUAUAUAUCUAUGGCUGCCUUUGGAGAGAAAGAAUGGUACUUUUUCAGUCCUAGAGAUCGUAAGUAUCCCAAUGGAGCUAGGCCUAACAGAGCAGCAGCUUCAGGGUAUUGGAAGGCAACUGGCACAGACAAGGUCAUAGUGGCAUCAUCAGCAAUACGUGCAGGUGCUGGUGUAGGAGUGCAAGAGAACAUUGGUGUUAAGAAGGCUCUUGUCUUCUACAGGGGAAGGCCUCCCAAGGGAAUCAAGACUAAUUGGAUUAUGCAUGAAUAUCGCCUAGCUGAUGCCCCUGCCCACAACGUCAAGCCAAUCAAGCCUAAAGAUUCAUCCUCCACUGCAAUGAGGCUUGAUGAUUGGGU
rnacentral:misc_RNA from 1 species